rnacentral:sRNA from 1 species
UUAUAGACAGUGGAGCUAACAGCGGGCUACGUUAAGUAGCAGAAGUUAGAUUGGCCAUCACACCUUCCGAUGUUAUUCCAGUCGGUCGCUCUGUGGUCUGGCAUUAAGGGUAGCGGAAACGUGAAUGUGUGCCAGAUGUAAAAAACAUUUUUAACAACCGCGAGGAGUACUUUACUUCCCUUUUUGGGGA